GAUGAACGCUGGCGGCGUGCUUAACACAUGCAAGUCGAACGAAGCAUUUGCGACGGAUUCUUUCGGGAUGAAGAUGCUUAUGACUGAGUGGCGGACGGGUGAGUAACGCGUGGGUAACCUGCCUUAUACAGGGGGAUAGCAGUUGGAAACGACUGGUAAUACCGCAUAAGCGCACAGUAUUGCAUGAUACAGUGUGAAAAACUGAGGUGGUAUAAGAUGGACCCGCGUCUGAUUAGCUGGUUGGUGAGGUAACGGCCCACCAAGGCGACGAUCAGUAGCCGACCUGAGAGGGUGACCGGCCACAUUGGGACUGAGACACGGCCCAGACUCCUACGGGAGCAGCAGUGGGGAAUAUUGCACAAUGGAGGAAACUCUGAUGCAGCGACGCCGCGUGAGUGAAGAAGUAGUUCGCUAUGUAAAGCUCUAUCAGCAGGGAAGAUAGUGACGGUACCUGACAAGAAGCUCCGGCU
rnacentral:rRNA from 1 species